rnacentral:rRNA from 1 species
GUCGAGAAUCUUCCGCAAUGCGCGAAAGCGUGACGGAGCGACACCGCGUGAUGGAUGAAGUCCUUCGGGGCGUAAACAUCUUUUAUAAAGGAGGAAAUUUUUGACGUUACUUUAUGAAUAAGGGGCUCCCAAUCUCGUGCCAGCAGGAGCGGUAAUACGAGAGCCUCAAGCGUUAUCCGGAAUCAUUGGGCGUAAAGGGUGCGUAGGUGGUUUGAUUAGUCUCCCGUUAAAACUUCGAGCUUAACUCGGAAAGAGCGGAGGAAACGGUCAAACUAGAGUAUGUGAGAGGUGUGUGGAACUCAUGGUGUAGGGGUGAAAUCCGUUGAUAUCAUGGGGAACACCAAAAGCGAAGGCAGCACACUGGCACAUCACUGACACUGAGGCACGAAACCUAAGGUAGCGAAUGGGAUUAGAUACCCCGGUAGUCC